rnacentral:rRNA from 1 species
GGGUCAGUAGGUUGGUCGUGCCACUGGUACGUACUGGUCUCACUGAUUCCUCCUUCCUGAAGAACCGUAAUGCCAUUAAUUUGGUGUUGCGGGGAAACAGGACGGUUACUUUGAAAAAAUUAGAGUGUUUAAAGCAAGCUAACGCUUGAAUACAUUAGCAUGGAAUAAUGAAAUAGGACGAUCGAUCCUAUUUUGUUGGUUUCUAGGAUUGACGUA